AAAUUCAUUCUUAGUGAAUGUCGACGCCAUAAUAACUUCCGGCGUGCCAAUUUUCAGCCCGAUUGGUCCAUUAAUUUGAGCUGUGCGUUGAUAGAUCAGUCAGUCAUUCAACUUUUCCCU